rnacentral:tRNA from 1 species
GGGGAUAUAGCUCAAUCGGUAGAGUGCUUGCCUAACAUGCACAAGGCCCUGGGUNUGAGUCCCAGCAUCACAU